rnacentral:rRNA from 1 species
UGCUUCAGUGUCAAGGGCGUAUGGUGGAUGCCUUGGGAUGGAGAGACGAUGAAGGACGUAGCAGCCUGCGAUAAGCCUCGGGGAGCUGGCAAGCAAGCUUUGAUCCGGGGAUGUCCGAAUGGGGUAACCCCAUGCAGUGUUGAAUUGCAUGACUUCGCAUCGCAAGAUGCGGAGAGUAAACCUGGUGAAGUGAAACAUCUCAGUAGCCAGAGGAAAAGAAAAUAGUAAAUCUAGUUUGUAGUAAGUAGAAGGUAGUUGGUAGAGGGCGGAAACGUUUUCUACAUUCUACGUACUACAUACUACUUGCUAGAUUUCCAUUCCCCUAGUAGUGGCGAACGAACGGGGAUCAGCCUAGAGCUCUUAUUUUAAAGCGCGGAGGCGGGUUUUGUAUCGAAAGGUAUGAGGUCACGUACUGUGUGGAAGACUCAAGGGUUAAAAAAAUAAGGGCAGUUGUAAGUUUGUCAUGUUCGCAACCUUGAACGCGAGGUGAGGUGUACAUAGCAGUAACUUUCCUAGCAGAAUGACCUGGAAAGGUCAACCAGAGCGGGUGAUAGUCCCGUACGCGAAAGGAGUUAUCGCCUUACUAUGACUAUACUUGAGUACCGCGGGACACGAGAAAUCCCGUGGGAAUCCGCCGCGACUAUGCGGUAAGGCUAAAUACUACUCCAUCACCGAUAGUGAACAAGUACCGUGAGGGAAAGGUGAAAAGUAGGCCGGUGAGGCCGAUGAAAUAGAACCUGAAACCAUACGUUUACAAGGAAUCGGAGCUCGCAAGAGCGACGGUGUUCCUAUUGAAGAAUGAGCCAACGAGUUUGCUUCACGUUGCAAAGUCUAAGUCCUACGGGACGGAGGCGAAGGGAAACCAAGUCUGAAAGGGCGUUUCUUUAAUAUAUCGCCGUACCGAUGCUUCGGUACGCCGAUAUAUUCUUAGAUAGCAUCGUGAACAAGACCCGAAACCCGGUGAGCUAACCAUGAACAGGGUGAAGUUCCGCGAAAGCGGAAUGGAGGCCCGAACCCGUAAGCUGUGCAACACUUUGGGAUGAUUUGUGGUUAGAGGUGAAAUACCAAUCGAACUGGGUUAUAGCUGGUUCUCCCCGAAAUAUACUGUGGUAUAGCCCUAAGGAUUGCGUGCGGAGGUAGAGCACUGAAUCGAUCGCGGCGGCGCAAGCCGUCUCAUCGAAUCAACCUCCGAAUGCCGUACGUGUACCUUGGGAGUCAGAGCAUGGGGGCAAAGCUCCAUCGCUCAAAAGGGAUACAGCCCUGAUCUUAGUCUAAGGUCCCUAAAUUAUCGCUCAGUGUGAAAGGAAGUGCAGAGGCUUAUACAACCAGGAAGUUGGCUUAGAAGCAGCCAUCUUUUAAAGAAAGCGUAACAGCUCACUGGUCGAGCCUUUGUGCGCCGAAAAUGUACCGGGGCUUAAGUG